rnacentral:rRNA from 1 species
UACGUAGGGGGCAAGCGUUGUCCGGAAUUAUUGGGCGUAAAGAGCGUGUAGGCGGCCAGAUAAGUCCGCUGUGAAAUCUCGAGGCUCAACUUCGAGCUGUCGGUGGAAACUGUCUGGCUAGAGUCCGGAAGAGGAGAAUGGAAUUCCUGGUGUAGCGGUGAAAUGCGCAGAUAUCAGGAGGAACACCAAUGGCGAAGGCAGCACUCUGGGACGUGACUGACGCUGAGACGCGAAAGCGUGGGGAGCAAACAGG